rnacentral:pre_miRNA from 1 species
AGACACCCUUAUGGGCAAGACUUGUUUCAGUGGGGCUUGGUGCUCACUGAGUCUGCCCCAUGAGAGUGUCCCU